GGCUUGAGUGUGGUAGGGGCAGAGGGAAUUCCCGGUGUAGCGGUGAAAUGCGUAGAUAUCGGGAAGAACACCAGUGGCGAAGGCGCUCUGCUGGGCCAUCACUGACGCUCAUGGACGAAAGCCAGGGGAGCGAAAGGGAUUAGAUACCCCUGUAGUCCUGGCCGUAAACGAUGAACACUAGGUGUCGGGGGAAUCGACCCCCUCGGUGUCGUAGCCAACGCGUUAAGUGUUCCGCCUGGGGAGUACGCACGCAAGUGUGAAACUCAAAGGAAUUGACGGGGGCCCGCACAAGCGGUGGAGUAUGUGGUUUAAUUCGAUGCAACGCGAAGAACCUUACCAGGGUUUGACAUCCUGCGAAUCUCUUGGAAACGAGAGAGUGCCUUCGGGAACGCAGUGACAGGUGGUGCAUGGCUGUCGUCAGCUCGUGUCGUGAGAUGUUGGGUUAAGUCCCGCAACGAGCGCAACCCACGUCUUUAGUUGCCAGCAUUUAGUUGGGCACUCUAGAGAGACCGCCGGUGAUAAACCGGAGGAAGGUGUGGAUGACGUCAAGUCAUCAUGCCCCUUACAUCCUGGGCUACACACGUACUACAAUGCUACGGACAAAGGGCAGCAAGUUCGCGAGGACAAGCAAAUCCCAUAAACCGUGGCUCAGUUCAGAUCGUAGGCUGCAACUCGCCUACGUGAAGGAGGAAUCGCUAGUAAUCGCAGGUCAGCAUACUGCGGUGAAUACGUUCCCGGGCCUUGUACACACCGCCCGUCACACCAUGGAAGUUGGCCACGCCCGAAGCCGUUACUCCAACCCUCGGGAGGAGGACGUCGAAGGUGGGGCUGAUGACUGGGGUGAAGUCGUAACAAGGU
rnacentral:rRNA from 1 species